CUUCAUAAGGGCCUAGAGCUCUGUGCUCUUUGCUGUUCUGAUUUCUACAGAGGUUGUCUGUGACAGGAGUGGUUGGAAUUCAAAAAAUGGAGCAAGGUGGAAGAUGAAAAUUUAACUUAGAAGCUGAGAAGGCAGGAAUCCUGGCGAACUGAUUUGAGGUUCCAAUUAAAAACGUGUUUGGGCCAUUGCGUUAGUGCCUGCCAGAGCUUAAUCUUCACCGAGAGCCUCAUCAUUUAUUCUAAAACAAAAGAAGAACGAGGUCUGCCUUAUUCGGAUAAACUUGCUGAUCGCUGUUGUGCUGACCACUGCCGGCGGGAGUCUCAGACUGCGUUUCUUCAAAAAGAAGCACCGCAUCUGCUCGACUUAACUGGAUGGACAGUGCUUGCUUCGGGGUCCUGGAGUCAUAAUUGUUGCCACGGAUCCAAGAAUCCAUCGAGAGAAGGCGUGACCAGUCUCAAGUUACACCAGAGCUACCUCAAGUAGAGUCGUGGUAAAGGAAACGAGAACAGUGCA